rnacentral:rRNA from 1 species
AAUUUUGGACAAUGGGGGAAACUCUGAUCCAGCCAUCCCGCGUGUAUGAUGAAGGCAUUCGGGUUGUAAAGUACUUUUGGCAGAGAAGAAAAGGUAUCUCCUAAUACGAGAUAUAGCUGACGGUAUCUGCAGAAUAAGCAUCUGCUAACUACGUGCCAGCAGCAGCGGUAAUACGUAGGGUACAAGAGUUAAUCGGAAUUACUGGUCUUAAUGCGUCUAUAGGCAGUUCGGAACUAGAGAUGUGAAAACCCAGGGCUCAACCUUGGAACUGCAGUAUUAACUGCCGAGCUAGAGUAUAUCAGAGUGGGGUAGAAUUCCAAGUGUAGCAGUGAAAUGCGUAGAUAUGUGGAGGAAUACCGAUGGCGAAAGCAGCCCCCUGGGAUAAUACUGACGCUCAGACACGAAAGCGUGGGGAGCAAAC